GUGAACGCUGGCGGUAGGCCUAACACAUGCAAGUCGAACGGCAGCACAGUAUGAGCUUGCUCUUACGGGUGGCGAGUGGCGGACGGGUGGGGAAUACAUCGGAAUCUACUUUUUCGUGGGGGAUAACGUAGGGAAACUUACGCUAAUACCGCAUACGACCUACGGGUGAAAGCAGGGGAUCUUCGGACCUUGCGCGAUUGAAUGAGCCGAUGUCGGAUUAGCUAGUUGGCGGGGUAAAGGCCCACCAAGGCGACGAUCCGUAGCUGGUCUGAGAGGAUGAUCAGCCACACUGGAACUGAGACACGGUCCAGACUCCUACGGGAGGCAGCAGUGGGGAAUAUUGGACAAUGGGCGCAAGCCUGAUCCAGCCAUACCGCGUGGGUGAAGAAGGCCUUCGGGUUGUAAAGCCCUUUUGUUGGGAAAGAAAAGCAGCAGGUUAAUACCCCGCUGUUCUGACGGUACCCAAAGAAUAAGCACCGGCUAACUUCGUG
rnacentral:rRNA from 1 species